AUGGGUCAGAUCUUGCCGGAGGAGUUGACCACGUGGUUGGAUGAGGGUCAGGAGGGAAGCCGGAUGAGACCGCUGGUUGGGGAGUCGGAUAACGAACAGCACAGUGGAGUCUCAGGCGACCGAACACACAGGGACCUCCGUGUCUCGGCUGAGGCUGGUCUGUCGUCGUCCCCAGCGCUGUCUCCUGAAGCUUUGUCACACGGCGCCACCGUCCCGGGUGUGAGUCCCCGUCCACAGGACCAGACCAGUCUACUGGACCUGGGCCCAGAGAGAACUGAAGGUUUUCCAGGCUCCGACUCGUUCCACCCGCUCCUGGCUGAGUCCACCCACAAUGAGACAGUCGACCCCUCCAUGACCUUUCACAUGCUCGGACACACAGUGCCCAACUCGCCUGGAGGACGGCAAGCCAGCGGGGAAGGCAGCGUUUCCCCACCUUCUGAAAUCCACGCUGAUCUUUCUGUCGAGUCUGUACCGUCACCCGAGUGCCUGCGCACAGAGAUGCCUGCCUCACAGGAAUCUGUCCUCAUGUCGGAAGACACCACGAGGACAGACGUGGAGCUCACGGCUCUGGGUCUGUCAAAUGUAACCCUGUGUGAUGAUGCGACUGCUGCAGACCUACAGCAGCCAGCAGGACGGGCUGCACACUGGAACUGCAUUUUUGAACAGCCGAGAGAUUUUGUCCCGUUCGGUGACCUCUGUCCCAAAGAACUGACGACCGAGCAAGGGUCGAGCCUGAGGAAGGAUGCUCUGCUCACAGAUAAGAUAUUGGAAGCAGCCAGUGAGAAGGGGAUCCUGGAGCAGUCCCAGAUAACACUAGUGAGCCUGACGGACACCACGCUGCAGGACCUGGAGACGACCGCCACGGAGGAAGAGUGUGUUUGGGAAGACGAGCAUCCAGAUGAGGGGGGACAGAAAGGCCAAGAGGUGGAGGGGGCAGACUCUACACUGUCACCAGAGGAAAUGACGGAGGACCAGGACCACACUCAUCGAGUGAUGUUCCUGGAGGUUCAGUGGGGUCCGAGCCAAGGCCUUCAGGACGUCAACGAGCAGAAGCGCAGGUCUCUGCUCCAGAGAUCAUCUCGCAGGGUGGAAGUCAUCAAGGCCAAAGUGGCUCUGGAAAAGAAUCAAUCUGAAUCUAAAGCUGAGGCGUCUCAGCCAGUCACCCGUAAGACAAAGAUGAAAUCAGAACUUCAGCCUAAGACUAACAACAAGUCCGAGAAGGGAGAAGCUGAGCAGCCUGGCUUCUUCCAGCAGAAGUGCCAACUUCCUCCUCCACAGAGCGAUUUCAGGCAGAGAAAUAUGGACGAGUCGAAGAUCUACACACCUGAGCAAAGGAAACGGGAAGUUUCGGUGAUGUACAAGAGAACUCGCAGACUGUACGAACAGCUGGAGGAGGUGAAGCAUCAGAAAUCAAUCCGGAGCAGACAGGAAGCUUGUGCAGAAAACAGACUGAAGGCCAAAGAGUUCCACAAGGUUAAAAAACUAACAAAAGUGCACUGA
rnacentral:lncRNA from 1 species